rnacentral:misc_RNA from 1 species
UCUCCGUAGGUGAACCUGCGGAGGGAUCAUUACAGAGUUCUCGCCCACGCGGGUAAAUAUUCCACCCACCGUUAUCGUUACUGUCGUUUCUUUGUCGGCCCGCCGGGUCCCCGACCGCCGGCGUCUAAUAGGCGGCGCCCGCCCGCCAGGGGCCUUCGAACCCUGAAUGUUAGUGUCGUCUGAGUUCUAUAUAAUAGUUAAAACUUUCAACAACGGAUCUCUUGGUUCUG